CCUACGGGUGGCUGCAGUAGGGAAUUUUCGUCAAUGGGCGCAAGUCUGAACGAGCGAUGCCGCGUGAGUGAAGAAGGCCUUCUGGUCGUAAAGCUCUGUUUCUGGGGAAAAAAGCCAGCAUCAGCAUAUGUGUCCUGACUGAUCGUGCCCCGCCAGAAAGUCACGGCUAACUACGUGCCAGCAGCCGCGGUAAUACGUAGGUGGCGAGAGUUAUCCGGAAGGAUUGGGCGUAAAGGGUGCGCAGGCGGUCCGGGAAGUCUGGAGUGAAACGAAUGGGCUCAACUCAUGCAUGGCUUUGGAAACUGGGGGGCUGGAGAGCAGGUGAGGGCGGUGGAACUCAAGGUGUAGCGGUAAAAUGCGUAGAUAUAUGAAAGAACACCAGUGGCGAAGGCGGCCGACUGGGCUGUUGCUGACGCUGAGGCACGAAAGCGUGGGGAGCAAAUAGGAUUAGAUACCCGUGUAGUC
rnacentral:rRNA from 1 species